rnacentral:rRNA from 1 species
AUUCCAGCUCCAAAAGCGUAUAUUAAAGUUGUUGCAGUUAAAAAGCUCGUAGUUGAACCUUGGGCUUGGCUGGCCGGUCCAUCUUUUUUGAUGCGUACUGGACCCAGCCGAGCCUUUCCUUCUGGCUAGCCUUUUUGGCGAACCAGGACUUUUACUUUGAAAAAAUUAGAGUGUUCAAAGCAGGCCUUUGCUCGAAUAUAUUAGCAUGGAAUAAUAGAAUAGGACGUUAUGGUUCUAUUUUGUUGGUUUCUAGGACCAUCGUAAUGAUUAAUAGGGACGGUCGGGGGUAUCAGUAUUCAGUAGUCAGAGGUGAAAUUCUUGGAUUUACUGAAGACUAACUACUGCGAAAGCAUUUACCAAGGACGUUUUCAUUAAUCAAGAACGAAAGUUAGGGGAUCGAAGAUGAUC